rnacentral:lncRNA from 1 species
CUUCUUCCCAAUGAAAGGGUUCAACCUGUGCUCCUCUCUCUCUUUCCACAGACCCCAAGGUUGCAGGAGCCAUCACAGAACCCAAAGAAAAAGAUGUAUUACAACUUUACUUCAUAAAGAGUCUCUUACCCAGUGGAAGAUCCUAGCUUAGCAUCUGGAUGACCAUCUUAAGCAUCAGCUGCCAUCUUAAGAAAAAGGUUUGGUUUCCCACCCAAUGUAACUGACAAUUAUUUUGUUAUUCAG